rnacentral:rRNA from 1 species
CCUACGGGAGGCAGCAGUGAGGAAUAUUGGUCAAUGGACGAGAGUCUGAACCAGCCAAGUAGCGUGAAGGAUGACUGCCCUAUGGGUUGUAAACUUCUUUUAUAAAGGAAUAAAAAGAGGCAAGUGUGCCUGUUUGCAUGUACUUUAUGAAUAAGGAUCGGCUAAGUCCGUGCCAGCAGCCGCGGUAAUACGGAGGAUCCGAGCGUUUUCCGGGUUUAUUGGGUUUAAAGGGAGCGUAGAUGGGUUGUUAAGUCAGUUGUGAAAGUUUGCGGCUCAACCGUAAAAUUGCAAUUGAUACUGGCAGUCUUGAGUACAGUUGAGGUAGGCGGAAUUCGUGGUGUAGCGGUGAAAUGCUUAGAUAUCACGAAGAACCCCGAUUGCGAAGGCAGCUUACUAAACUGUGACUGACAUUGAUGCUCGAAAGUGUGGGUAUCAAACAGGAUUAGAUACCCGUGUAGUC